rnacentral:rRNA from 1 species
CGGGGUGCACCAGGCGCGAAAACUUUACAAUGCGGGAAACCGUGAUAAGGGGACACCGAGUGCCAGCAUCAUAUGCUGGCUGUCCGGGUGUGUAAAAUACACCCGUUAGCAAGGGCCGGGCAAGACCGGUGCCAGCCGCCGCGGUAACACCGGCGGCCCGAGUGGUGAUCGUGAUUAUUGGGUCUAAAGGGUCCGUAGCCGGUUUGGUCAGUCCUCCGGGAAAUCUGAUAGCUCAACUAUUAGGCUUUCGGGGGAUACUGCCAGGCUUGGAACCGGGAGAGGUAAGAGGUACUACAGGGGUAGGAGUGAAAUCUUGUAAUCCCUGUGGGACCACCUGUGGCGAAGGCGUCUUACCAGAACGGGUUCGACGGUGAGGGACGAAAGCUGGGGGCACGAACCGGAUUAGAUACCCGGGUAGUCCCAGCCGUAAACGAUGCUCGCUAGGUGUCAGGCAUGGCGCGACCGUGUCUGGUGCCGCAGGGAAGCCGUGAAGCGAGCCACCUGGGAAGUACGGCCGCAAGGCUGAAACUUAAAGGAAUUGGCGGGGGAGCAC